GUUGGAUAUGACUGAGUGAGCACGCAUACACACACGCAGCAUAACAUAGCUGUUCUGUACUGUACUUUCUCACUGGGAGGUAUACGAUGUUCUCUGUUUUCUAGAAGAGGACCUACCUCUGAAAAGAAAAGAAAAUUUCCCAGUAACUCAGUGUUUUGAAAUAGAAUAACGUAUUCAACCAAGCCUACCAGGGCUGUGCUAACAGUUCCAUCCAACCAGAACCACAUUCCGUCUUACCAGUCCACCAGCUCCUUCAACAAUGACCCCUCUCAUUUCUGGUGCUCGGCUGAGGCCGUAUUCUCGGAGGCUCCCAGCUCUAAGAAAGAUGCUGAUGGCACCUCUGAUGACAGCUAGGCACAUGACCUGGGUCUGGCCAAUCAGAGCAUGUCCUCCCUUUUGCAGCAAUGAUUGAUUCAAGGUUGAAUAUAUAAUACACCUUUGCAAUGAGGCUCAACUGUAAAUCAACCUAGCACUUUUGCUUGAGACACAGGCCAAGAAUCAUCCUCUCUCCUCAUUGAACUUGAAACCGUGAGGCUGUGAGUCUGGAGCGUCUGGCAAGAAGUGUGCUUCCCUGAGAAGCAGAGAGGUGGAGAUAAGGUGAGUUGUGAUGCUAUCAUCUGAGGCAGUACUUCUGGUCACACCUGCGGUCACCUCUUCCGGGACGUCUUCAGUUUCAAGAGCUGAUAUAUUUACUUUUUUUUUUUUUUUUUGGCUUAAGCCAGUUUGAGUCAUUUGUCUAUAACUGAAAGAGUUCUGAUUGAUAUUAGAUGAUUGCUAGGUUGGCUUCAUAUUACAUGUGGAAAACUCUUGCUCUUUUAGAGAAGGGAGAGGGAAUCUAAGAAACCUUAGUGCCAGGAAAUUUUGCCUAGAAAAAAACUAGUGGGCACCUGGCCUGGUCAAGGGAGGCAGACCAGCUAGAAUUCAGAAUUAAAGGCUGCCUUAAACUAUCAUGAGAAUAUAUUAAUUCAAAUUAAAAUAUAUUAUUUUUAAGCAUUUGUGAUUAUUUAAAGUAUUUUGGGGGCUGGUG